AGUGAGAAAUGUUUUUCUAUGAUCAGAUGAAGGCCUACAGGCAUUACAACUUUGAUCGCCAGAAGCUCGUAACAAGCCACGAUAUAGUCUUUGUCUAUCUCCACGAACAAGGUAUCUUCCUCCUCACUUUGACCAGAUGGUGGAUCUUUCACUUAUCCUAGACAACAUUCCUGAGCCCCUGGUUCUCUGGCUCAAGGAGGAGUCCCUAUCAAUCCAUAGAGAGCUGCCAUACCUCGAGGAGUAGCACUUCCCAUUCUUGGUACUUCCACUUCCAUAUCUCACAACUUUGACAGUGCCUCUUCGUCUCUUGCUCUUUCUGGCCCUUUUGCUGCCCAUGAGACUG
rnacentral:lncRNA from 1 species